GCGCACUUAGCUCAGUGGUAGAGCAGUCGUCUUAUACACGACCGGUCCCUGGUUCGAUCCCAGGAGUGCGCACUA
rnacentral:tRNA from 1 species